rnacentral:tRNA from 1 species
GCAUCGGUGGUUCAGUGGUAGAAUACUCGCCUGCCACGCGGGCGCCCCGGGUUCGAUUCCUGGCCGAUGCA